rnacentral:tRNA from 1 species
GGGCCCGUAGCCUAGAAUGGAUUAUGGCGAUGGCCUCCGGAGCCAUAGGUCGGGGGUUCAAGUCCCUCCGGGCCCG